CGGAGCGUGGCUCAGCCUGGUAGAGCACUGCGUUCGGGACGCAGGGGUCGGAGGUUCGAAUCCUCUCGCUCCGACCA
rnacentral:tRNA from 6 species